rnacentral:lncRNA from 1 species
AUGCAAACAAAUACUAACGCAUAUUACUACUCAUUCCCCCUUCUCCCAGCCGUGGUUACUCAAGGUCCACAGGUGACUUUCAUAGGACAGCAUAGUUGGCCAGUGGCAGAGGGGGAACCUGAACCCAAGUCUCUGAGUUCCAGUUUCAUCGGCUGGCUGCCUGGAUCCUUCAUGCGUGGCCUGUCUCUGCUGUCCUCGGUUGUCCAAUCUGGAGGAGGAAAAUGGAGUCCCAGAGAGACGAAUGAUCAAGCCAUACGCCAGGAGCAGACUUGGGAAUCCUGUUGCUGAACUCAGCUGAGGUCAGAAACCUCAGUGAAGCUCCAUCCCUUUGAGAUGAUGAGGUGACACUUGAGUCGUCCGGUCCCAUUGAAAGGGCGGGCCUACGCCGGCCAACUCCAUCUUGUUCUGUGUGCUUCACCUUGACCACGCCUCCUCCCCUUGAGUAACCACCCCCCCCCCUCCCCAACAGGACUCGGACCCUUACCCAGCCAAUCGGCUGAGGCCACAGCCAUUACCUCACCAACUGCCCCUAGGCCUCAAUACAACCUUUGUCCUUUUGAUACUCGCUUUGUCCUUUUGAUACUCUCCCCGGUAUCUCACCGCUGCGUCGAUGCAGGUAGGGGAUUGAGCUCGAGCUAGCUCGAAUAAAGGCUCUUUUGCUUUUACA